GUAAAAAUAAAAAAACGAGUGUUUUUAAAAACAAUUCAGGUUUGAGUCAAUACUCGUAUGUGCUGAUAUACAAAAUUUUAGUUUGCUAUAAAAAGAGGACAAUCGGGCUGUAUCAUCAUCAGUUGAUCUUUGUUUGUCAAGCAUAUCAUCAAUAUGAAGUUCUUAUUUUUACUAUUUGCCCUGUUCUUUGUUGCAGUCAGCGCAAGUGGCAUAGCUGCUCCCGUUAGAGAAGUCAGAUCAGCUUAUGGUAAUACUAGGAGACCUCCAACUGCACCUCCUCGUCGCCCCAGUAACACUUACGGUGCAUCAGGUUAAAUUACCUUUCAAACUGGUAUUAAAAUGGAUUUUUAUUAGACAGAAAAAUAUAUUGUUAAAUUUAUCAGCAUUCUAAA